rnacentral:rRNA from 1 species
UACGGAGGGGGCUAGCGUUGUUCGGAAUUACUGGGCGUAAAGCGCACGUAGGCGGCUUUGUAAGUUAGAGGUGAAAGCCCAGGGCUUAACCCUGGAAUUGCCUUUAAGACUGCAUCGCUAGAAUCGUGGAGAGGUGAGUGGAAUUCCGAGUGUAGAGGUGAAAUUCGUAGAUAUUCGGAAGAACACCAGUGGCGAAGGCGACUCACUGGACACGUAUUGACGCGUGAGGUGCGAAAGCGUGGGGAGCAACAGG